GACGAACGCUGGCGGCGUGCUUAACACAUGCAAGUCGAACGGAAAGGCCUGCUUUCCCUUGUGCAUUGCGGGUACUCGGGUGGCGAACGGGUGAGUAACACGCGAGUGAUCUGCCCCCAACUUAGGUAUAAGCCUGGGAGACUGGGUCUAAUUCCCGAUAGGACCGCAGGGUGGUGCCUGUGGUGGCAAACGAGUUUCUAGUGGUAGGGGAUGAGCUCGCGGCCUAUCAGCUUGUUGGUGGGGUAAUGGCCUACCAAGGCGGCGACGGGUAGCCGGCCUGAGAGGGUGGACGGCAACAUUGGGACUGAGAUACGGCCCAGACGCCUACGGGAGGGAGCAGUGGGGAAUAUUGGACAAUGGGCGGAAGCCUGAUGCAGCGACGCCGCGUGGGGGAUGACGGCCUUCGGGUUGUAAACUCCUUUCGACCGCGAGGAAGCCACCUGGUUGGAAGGGUGGUGACGGUAGUGGUAGAAGAAGCACCGGCUAACUACGUG
rnacentral:rRNA from 1 species